GGGGGCUUUGCUCAGUUGGUAGAGCGUCGGGUUCGCAAUGCGAAGGUCGAGGGUUCGACUCCCUUAGCCUCCACCA
rnacentral:tRNA from 1 species